AACGAACGCUGGCGGCAGGCUUAACACAUGCAAGUCGAGCGCCCCGCAAGGGGAGCGGCAGACGGGUGAGUAACGCGUGGGAACGUACCUUUUGGUUCGGAACAACUCCGGGAAACUGGAGCUAAUACCGGAUAAGCCCUAACGGGGAAAGAUUUAUCGCCGAAAGAUCGGCCCGCGUCUGAUUAGCUAGUUGGUGAGGUAACGGCUCACCAUGGCGACGAUCAGUAGCUGGUCUGAGAGGAUGAUCAGCCACACUGGGACUGAGACACGGCCCAGACUCCUACGGGAGGCAGCAGUGGGGAAUAUUGGACAAUGGGCGCAAGCCUGAUCCAGCCAUGCCGCGUGAGUGAUGAAGGCCUUAGGGUUGUAAAGCUCUUUUGUCCGGGAAGAUAAUGACUGUACCGGAAGAAUAAGCCCCGGCUAACUUCGUG
rnacentral:rRNA from 1 species